UGUACGUGUGCUGAACGCGGAGGUGUCGUCCGUUCGGCACUAGAUCGUGGGACUGAUCGCAGGACGGUUCACGGGGCGGAUCGAGGGACAUGAGGACGUUCCACUACAUCAACCGCGUUCACUAACGCUUCUGCUGUACGGUCUACAAGGGUACGUAGAUCACAUAUCCCCUCUCGUCGAUGGACAUCACCAUGAUAGGUCUUCGUGUGCGUAGGAAAAUUUUUGUUUCCCAUGCGACGUUCCCCAACAGCUGCCCGGUACCAAUCCUGGUGAUUACAUGAAGCAUUCAGUAAUUUUUUAUAUAGCUGAGGUAACAAAUAAACAAACAUAUGAAUACGUGCUCGGGAAGCCUCUGGUCAAACCUGAUCAUCCUCCUCUAACACCGAGGAUGCACGAAUUGCAUGAGUGGUACAUGAACAUCUUCAGGGAGACUGGGAAAGACGCUAUCUAUAUGAGAGUGAAAAAAGAUCACGAUUUCAUUGGAACUUCAGUGCUGCUUGUUCAAUUUGAGGAGUUAUUUCAGUUAUACAAUCAACUGGCCUCGACAAACAAUUCAUGACUUCCUACUGUUUGUAAGUAUUACUUCUAUAAUUAAGUCUCUAGCUCAUCUCGUUCAUUUCAUGUAUAUAUAAUUAUCCUUACUAUAUAUAUUAUGCAGCUUCAAGAUCGUCGAAUUAAAAAAAGCAGGAAUCUUCGACGUUGGGUUCAUUAGCCCAGAAGCCGUAAAUGUAUUGUCGGUACGAAAUGAAACCAAAGAGACCGAGGUUAGCUUGCUAAACUCUUUGCUUGCAAUUCAAAACAAAAGGGAAAUACUCUUUCCUUACAACUUCAAGUGAGUGUUGCUGUAUUCUCUGUAUACUCGUUUCGCUUACUCGAGGUUAAGUAAAUGUAAUUGAUGAGUUAUAUAUGCGUGCGCAGUUACCACUUUAUUCUGCUAUCCAUUAAGCUUGACGGGGUAAAAGUAAUUGUCUUAGACUCGAGACGUAAAGAUCCCGAGGAUUAUGCGGACAUGACUGCAAUGCUCAAGAAGUAAGUUCAGUCAAUACCAGGACCAUACCGGCAUGCAACUUUCAUUAAUUUCCUGAUAUCAAGUAAUCAUUUUCCUUGUCUGGCAAGGUUUGGAAGAAGUUCACCUCAAAGUCUCCCGGUCUAAACAAAGAGUUGCAAUUUACGCACCCCCCCCCGGUAAGUAGUACUAUCUAGUUCCGUGCAUCUCUAAUUGAUUCAAAUUUUCAUCAAUAUAUCAUUACCAUGCUUGCUUAUCAGUUUGAUUGAACUCUAUUCUCAUAAAGUGCUUGUACCAGGUAGCUGGAACUGAAAAAUGUGCAUACUACGUAUGCGAGUUCAUUCGCCUCUCAACCUCUGGGCGAGGCAUCUCUGACAAACAAUUUGAAGUACGUAAAUAAUAUUCACAAUUUUAUUUUAUAUAUUACCAUCAAUUGUGUUGAGUUUUAUUCAUAUAUAUAUGCAUGUAUUGACCCCCUUCUUUAAAUUAGAUCUGAAAGAAGCGGGAUGAACCCCUAUCAGAUGAUGGCAUACGAGCAAUCCAAGAGGAAUUGGCGGGAUUCUUUCUUGACCACGUCAUACGGAGAAUACCAUGUGAGCUAUUUGUGAUUGAAUCUUAGGUAGAUGAUGUUAGGCAUUGUAAAAGAUGUUAGGGAUUGUAAAUGGUUUCCUUCAUUUUCUUAUUAGCUAGCGUCAUGUUCUCUCUAUAUGUAUAGUAGCUAGCGUCGACCAAGCACGGAGAAAGAGAGGACACUUCUCUCUAGUAGCUAGCUAACACAAUAAAAAACCACUAAAUUAACCCUCCACCCCCACCCCCAUUCAGAAAAAACAAAACCCCCAGCUCCGGCCAGAUGCUGACGCGUGGAUGCCAUGUUGUCCCGGUUAGUAUGACCAACCGGGACUAACGGCCCUCCUGCUCGGGCUCCCCGCAGCGGACACGUGGAGACCCUUCGGUCCCGGUUGGUAAGCGAACCGGGACUAAAGGUUUUGGGCUUUAGUCCCGACACUUUAGUCCCGGUUCCGGAACCGGGGCUAAUGAGCCUAUGGAACCGGGACAAAUGUGCCUUUUUCUACUAGUGGUAGUCAUCGUAAGCCUUUAAUCCCCCCAUAAUGCGGAAAAACAAUGGUUUUUUGCAUGCAAAAAACGGCGACGAAACCAGUGAUGAUCCAAAAAAGUUAGGUAUGGAGCAAAGUAGUCCUUCUAUAGUAGCCGUGCGCCGCAGACCCUAUCCCGAUUGAUCAUUCUUCUUUUUUUGAUUGAGCCCUUGAAAUUAGGAAUAUGCUCUGCCGGUCCAUUUACUCUUACAUGUUCAUGAGCAUGAUCAUGUCCAGUUCUUCGUGUGAAUUCAACGAAUCGAAGAACUCAUCUUCAAUCAUUUGAUCGAACUAUGUCAGUCCAUACUCCUCGUCCAACGAAGCAUCAGAAUUCAUUGUUUUUCCUAAAAAUCGCAAGAAACGGGCUGGACAAUGUAUCGCAAGGGCCAGCUCGAGAAUUGUCGGGCGUACCACAGUGGUGUCCGGGCCGGCAACGACGUCGUGGGCUGUGAGGAUUGAAUAGAGGAGUGUUGUGUCGAUGUUGUCGGCGCACAUGCUCCGCAACGGCGGAGCAGGUGAGAUACGUUGGGGAGGAGCAACAGAAGAUAGCAAAUGGAUGGAUGGGGUAGAUUUGAUGCAAUUUAUGAUGGGGUAGGCCUCUAGGGCGGACGCAUCCGGACGCCUUCCUUAUCCGUCUUUGAUUUGGUUGAUCAGCCCGGGUGUUUGAGGCGUUCACGUGAAUCAUAUUUUUGUGACCAGUCAAUGAUCAAACCGUAUGUGUGAAUGUUUGGAGCGGGUUUGAGAUGCUCGGCUUACCCGUCAGAAUGUCAUACCUUAUUUCUAUAUGUCUGUUCUUGCACGCCCAGUUACCGGUGAGAUUGAACGAUGUGCAAAUGAUACAGCAGGAUGUCUCGGUAGCUAAAAAGUAGGAUCUGAUGUGUGUUGUACUCCAAAUUCCGUGCGUACGUAGCGACGACGUAACGAGGAGCGUCCAAGCAAGAUCCAAUUGUUUGUAACGCGUAUAACCCUGCUUAGCACCUGGCCGUUGCCAAUAAUUUGAGUGUGGCAUGGUAGCUGUGGCUACCUGUCCUCGCCAGCAAAGCAUCUUCUGUUCAUGUCCAUUUGGAUGCUGAACGAUUGUCCAAUGCUAUGCUUUGGACAGUUGCGCAAGCUAGCUAGCUUCCUUAUAUUCAACAAUUAGCUGGUCAGCUGUUAAGAUGCUUUGGCUUAGUUAGGUUGCUGCAGCAUCCAGCUUCAUGGCUUUGUGCAAACGGUUUGUCAACUUGGAAUUCUUGUGGUUUUCUUUUGUAGGACGACGGAGGUUUUUGGGCGGCAAGAUAUAAGCGCCAGCUAGAACUUGGGACAUACUAGCAACGAACAAAAUCUGCUUGGGAAAUGAGUGUCGAAGCUUGGCUACAUCCUACAUGCUCGACGUAUAUUGUACCGCAUCAUGCACGUAUGGUGUGGCCCACACAUGCAUAUACACCGACAAAUGUACUCCCACUGACUGGUGCCCGGAUUCAGAAUACAGAAUACGAGGAUCCAGUGAGAUCCAAGUCCAGAGCUAGCGCGAGGACCAAACCACGGAUUACCCCGAUACGUCGGCCACCGCCCAAGAACUGGUCAUGUAGUACGAGUACACCUGUCGACCGCCGGCUGCAUACGGAUACGGCCACAUGCACCCGCGCGCGCCCAAGUUCCGCGGGAAACGGGCGUAUAACGGUCAGGUCUGGUCGGUCCUUGCCGUCACACGCCCAGCCGGCAGCGGGACGGGCGCGUCAAGGCGAUGACAGCUGGGGAAAAUCAAGCUCCGCGGAUCGCCCAACACCAGCCCAAUUGUCUAGUCGGCGAGCCAGCGCGCGCCUUUAAUUCCAUCGCCGAAAAUACGUAUCUGUUUAUUCAAGAAUUGUUUAGGAAAAAGUUGGGAACGGAAGAAAGAAACCGGCACCCGUAUCCUCCCCGCUGAGUAAUGCUACACCUACAAAGGCUUACUUAAAGAUUUUACGUACAAACUGAUGUGUAAGAUUGUGAUGGUUAUUGAGGGAUGAGGGGCCCCACCCUUACUGAAAAUCAUGGAAGGAGAGAAGAGUUAGUUUAAAAGGUUAAGUAAACUUUUGUAAGUUUUUAUUGAUCCUCCCCCGCCCUCGCACUCCUCACCCAUGUCACCGUCCGCCUUGACGCCGCCCGGUGUUAUCACGUGCGCCGCCACGCGCAGCGUCUACGUGGAGGCCACAGGCGCAGCGGAGCCGGCCGACUGGAAGCCGUAAAAGUGUUUUCUAGUAGGUGACCGGCGGCGAUGCCGUUCGUGCGCGCGGACGGACGCGCACCGGCCGUCGUGCCCGCCGCGCUCGCGCGCUGGCUCACGGGAUUCGCGAGCUCCGCGGGGGUGGGCCAGCGCGCGCAGCGCAAUCGCGCUGGGUGGGUCGAUCGGGGGCCCCUUGCCUGCUCCCCGCCAUGCGCCAUGUCGCCGUCAACGUACCGCUCAUGGGUUUCGUGCCCGGCCCAGUUUCGCAGCGCUCGCUUGCGACACGCGCUCUGUGAUCUCAGCCACUCCAUCCGGAUAUGGACACCCCCAGCGCUCGUCCGCUCACCUGCCCCUCCCAGCCUCGGGUAUUUGGGUAACCGCUACUACUUGUCAGGACCAUGCAAGCAAAACUGGAUUGGUUCAAGAUGGAUGAACCGCUGUUGAUAUCGAGAGCAGGCUUUGCCGUGAAUAUAUAUGGUUAGACGACGACGCUGCGAAGCUAUCUAUAAUAUGCAUCCACCGUUCGACCCUGCCAUAUCACUUCACCCCAUACUGUCACGCCAAAGCCGGCACCACCCCCAACCUACCACGUCUCCCCGCCCGCGCCCGCGCCAGCUCCGGCUUUGCCCAGGCACGUCCGUCGACACAAUUCCGAUAGUCCAGCCAGCCAGCCAUUCAUCCGCUGCGAUCUCUCUCCCUUAUUAGUACGCCCCCACCCUCUCCCUCUCCUGCCCACAGUCCCACUCCCACGACACCAACAGCUGCGCCAACAGCAACAGCCCAGCUCCCCACUACCAGACGUACCACGUACAGAGCUUAGCACCACCCAUGGCCGCGGAGGAGCCCAAGAAGGUGGAGGUGGAGGCGGCGCCGGAGCCGGAGCCCGCACCCCCGGCGGCGGAGCCUGAGGCCCCCGCCAAGGACGUCACCGAGGAGAAGGCCGUCAUCCCCGCGCCCGCGNNNNNN
rnacentral:lncRNA from 1 species